CAUGGUCCAAAAUUGGCAUAAUUAUAAAAAUAGCCCAUUUUACUAAUGUGAAUAGUACCUCAUGAACGGGUUCAAGCCUUCACAUUUGUGAGGGUCAAUAGUAAUCAUGCCAUUAAAUUGAACUUUGCGAUUGUUGUCAACCUAUUUUGUUUGUGAAGGCUAAUGACCUGGGGACAUAUCACGUUUAUGAUGGCAUAAUAGCA
rnacentral:lncRNA from 1 species